GAUGAACGCUAGCGGCAGGCUUAACACAUGCAAGUCGAGGGGUAUAGCUCUUCGGAACUAGAGACCGGCGCACGGGUGCGUAACGCGUAUGCAAUCUACCUUUUACAGAGGGAUAGCCCAGAGAAAUUUGGAUUAAUACCUCAUAGUAUAUAGCCCUGGCAUCAGGAUUAUAUUAAAGUCACAGCGGUAAAAGAUGAGCA
rnacentral:rRNA from 1 species